UACGUAGGGUGCGAGCGUUAAUCGGAAUUACUGGGCGUAAAGCGUGCGCAGGCGGCGCGUUUAGACAGGUGUGAAAGCCCCGAGCUUAACUUGGGAAUUGCGCUUGUGACUGGCGUGCUGGAGUGUGGCAGAGGGAGGUGGAAUUCCACGUGUAGCAGUGAAAUGCGUAGAGAUGUGGAGGAACACCGAUGGCGAAGGCAGCCUCCUGGGCCAGCACUGACGCUCAUGCACGAAAGCGUGGGGAGCAAACGGG
rnacentral:rRNA from 1 species